rnacentral:rRNA from 1 species
GGGUUGUGAGGUUAAGCGACUAAGCGUACACGGUGGAUGCCCUGGCAGUCAGAGGCGAUGAAGGGCGUGCUAAUCUGCGAUAAGCGCCGGUAAGGUGAUAUGAACCGUUAUAACCGGCGAUACCCGAAUGGGGAAACCCAGUGUGACUCGUCACACUAUCAUUAACUGAAUCCAUAGGUUAAUGAGGCGAACCGGGGGAACUGAAACAUCUAAGUACCCCGAGGAAAAGAAAUCAACCGAGAUUCCCCCAGUAGCGGCGAGCGAACGGGGAGGAGCCCAGAGCCUGAAUCAGCAUGUGUGUUAGUGGAAGCGUCUGGAAAGGCGCGCGAUACAGGGUGACAGCCCCGUACACAAAAGCGCAUGUGCUGUGAGCUCGAUGAGUAGGGCGGGACACGUGGUAUCCUGUCUGAAUAUGGGGGGACCAUCCUCCAAGGCUAAAUACUCCUGACUGACCGAUAGUGAACCAGUACCGUGAGGGAAAGGCGAAAAGAACCCCGGCGAGGGGAGUGAAAAAGAACCUGAAACCGUGUACGUACAAGCAGUGGGAGCCCCACCACCAAAGCAUUUGCUGUACCGCGUUGACGGAGCGAAGCGACGUCAAACCGAUAAAACAGCAGUGUAAAGUGAGCCGCAGGGCGCUUUGCGCGACAGCGCAAAGGCAGGCGGUUUCGCGUAGCGAAAGCGAAUGCUUUGGGGUGGGGUGACUGCGUACCUUUUGUAUAAUGGGUCAGCGACUUAUAUUCUGUAGCAAGGUUAACCGAAUAGGGGAGCCGGAGGGAAACCGAGUCUUAAUUGGGCGUUAAGUUGCAGGGUAUAGACCCGAAACCCGGUGAUCUAGCCAUGGGCAGGUUGAAGGUUGGGUAACACUAACUGGAGGACCGAACCGACUAAUGUUGAAAAAUUAGCGGAUGACCUGUGGCUGGGGGUGAAAGGCCAAUCAAACCGGGAGAUAGCUGGUUCUCCCCGAAAGCUAUUUAGGUAGCGCCUCGUGAAUUCAUCUCCGGGGGUAGAGCACUGUUUCGGCUAGGGGGCCAUCCCGGCUUACCAACCCGAUGCAAACUGCGAAUACCGGAGAAUGUUAUCACGGGAGACACACGGCGGGUGCUAACGUCCGUCGUGAAGAGGGAAACAACCCAGACCGCCAGCUAAGGUCCCAAAGUCAUGGUUAAGUGGGAAACGAUGUGGGAAGGCCCAGACAGCCAGGAUGUUGGCUUAGAAGCAGCCAUCAUUUAAAGAAAGCGUAAUAGCUCACUGGUCGAGUCGGCCUGCGCGGAAGAUGUAACGGGGCUAAACCAUGCACCGAAGCUGCGGCAG